AUGUGUGAAAAAUUUUUACAGGAAGUAGACUUUUUUCAGAGGUAUUUCAUCGCUGAUUUGCCCCACUUGCAGGACAGCUUUGUGGACAAACUCCUUGACCUUAUGCCCCGAUUCAUGACAUCCAAACCUGCAGAAGUGGUCAAAAUUCUACAGACCAUGCUGCGACAGAGUGCCUUUCUGCAUCUCCCACUUCCAGAGCAGGUCAGGGUCUAUUUGGCCCCUGUAGGCCAAAUCUAUCCAGACGGUCAAAAAUCUUUACCUUGGUGAUCUUCUUUGACCAAUGGAGCA
rnacentral:lncRNA from 1 species